ensembl:snRNA U2 U2 spliceosomal RNA
AUCCCUUCUUGGCUUUUUGGCUUAGAUCACAUGCAAUGUCUGUCCUCCUCCAUUUAAUAUUGGAUAUUGCCUCUCCAGACAAUAUAUUAAAUGACUUUUCGGAGCAAAAAGAUGUAAUAGGAGCUUGAUCUGUCCACACCAUGCACCAAUUUGGUAUUGCAGGAUCUCUAAGUGUGGUUAGCGCUUU